AGAUCGAGGGAUGGGAAUCGAACCCAUGACCUUCCGCUUACUGGGCAGAUGCCAUGACCACUAGGCUAUAGGCUC
rnacentral:tRNA from 1 species